AAAAUCUUCAACCAAGAAUUUCAUAUACAGCUAAACUAAGCUUUCUAAAUGAAGGAGAAAUGAGAUCAUUUACAGACAAGCAAAUUCUGAGGUGAUGGCAUCAGCUGAGAAGGGAAGGAAGCCCAUGAGAGGACACUGAAGAAGGAGUGAGCAGACAAUAAGAAGCCCACAGAAGACAGAGAAGGAACAACUAGAGGGAGAAGCCAAGUUUCUCCACAGACACUACCCAAAGCAGUGCUUCACUACAGUGGCAGACAGACCUGAAAAUUUUCAUCUGAAGCAGCAGAGUGAACUGCAGAGGCAGGUCACCAACCAGUGUGGAGGCUAAAAGCGGGCCUCUUUGGGGAUUCCAGGUGGAAGUGUUGGACAUCUGUAGUAUUCCUGGUCUCGAAUCAUCCUGAUAUUCUUCAUUUUGUUAUUCACAUUGGACUAGGCAGGAACAAAGAUCACCACAACUGGCUCCCCUUCAACUAUGUUAGAUGGCAACUUGCCUUCAGUAUGGUGAAACACAUCAGUUAAGACCGGGGUUGUGCAUGG
rnacentral:lncRNA from 10 species